CUCUCUAUCUGCGUACACACGGUGCACCCCUGAAAACCAAGGAAAAGAAUGCUUAUGCGACGCUGAAGGAGCUGGCCGCCUUCUCGACGCCCUUCCUGGCGCCCUUGAACCACCUCUUGUCGCCGGCCUGCGCCUUGCAGAUGUAGAGCUUGCCGUCCGAGACGGUGGCCGUGAUGAGCUGGUGCUUGCCGCCCUCGUCGCCGUCCGCCGUCCUCGUCAGCACCGACACGCUGUAGUACUGCUUCCCGUCCACCACCGGCGCCGAGCUCUCCAGGAUGUUGGCUGUCGCCACCGCGUCGGUCUCGAACCCGCCCUGCACGCGCAAGCACAGGUAAAUAGCCGUCGCCGAAUGAAUCAGAGAUUAAUUAGAUGCAGCAUGUGAACUAGUAGAACUAGAACAAACCUCGGAGUCAGUCUUGCCGCUGUAGGCCUGCUUGCCGAGGAGGUAGUCGACCUGGGCGAGGAACUGCUCCGGGGAGCCGAACUCGGUGAUGGUCUUCUUGGUGGUGGGCUGGACCAUGACGGAGACGUUGCUGUUGGCGUCGAAGUUGUCCUCGUAGCGGAGGACCUGGCCGGGGAACUCGCGCUCCUUGCUGGGGUUCCACUUGGACGGGAUCAGCAGCUUGAACCCGUCGCCGCUGUAGGCGAUGAAGUCCGUGUUCGCCUUGGGCUUCCCGAACACGUUGGCUGCAACCAAGCAAGCAAGCGCGAUUGCAAUCAAGAUUCAAUAACCGACCGAGAUCCAUCAAGCUACCCAGGAGCUGAGACAUUAAGCGCGUGUUGUUACCUGCUUCUCCGUAGGCGGCGGCGGCGGGGCUCACCUUGGCGCCGACGGCGGCGACGCCGGCGAGGAGCGUGAGCGCGGCGCGGCGGGUGACCGCGGCGGCGUCACCGCUCUCGGCGGCGGCGUCCUGCCUCUGCGCCUUGCAGACGAGCUGGGCCCGCGGCACCUGGGGGCGCGCCGAGGCGGCGGCGGCGCCGAGGCGAGCGGUGGACUGGAGGAGGAAGCAGGAGGUGGACGCCAUGGCUGCCGCUCGUUGCUCGCUAGCUGGCUCCUGCUGCUGCUGCUACUAUCUUCCUCUAGAAGACUU
rnacentral:lncRNA from 1 species